rnacentral:rRNA from 1 species
GAUGAACGCUGGCGGCGUGCCUAAUACAUGCAAGUCGAGCGAACAGACGAGGAGCUUACUCCUCUGACGUUAGCGGCGGACGGGUGAGUAACACGUGGAUAACCUACCUAUAAGACUGGGAUAACUUCGGGAAACCGGAGCUAAUACCGGAUAACAUGUUGAACCGCAUGGUUCAACAGUGAAAGACGGUCUUGCUGUCACUUAUAGAUGGAUCCGCGUCGCAUUAGUUAGUUGGUAAGGUAACGGCUUACCAAGGCAACGAUGCGUAGCCGACCUGAGAGGGUGAUCGGCCACACUGGAACUGAGACACGGUCCAGACUCCUACGGGAGGCAGCAGUAGGGAAUCUUCCGCAAUGGGCGAAAGCCUGACGGAGCAACGCCGCGUGAGUGAAGAAGGUCUUCGGAUCGUAAAACUCUGUUAUUAGGGAAGAACAAAUGUGUAAGUAACUAUGCACGUCUUGACGGUACCUAAUCAGAAAGCCACGGCUAACUACGUG